rnacentral:rRNA from 1 species
GAUGAACGCUGACAGAAUGCUUAACACAUGCAAGUCCACUUGAAUUUGGGUUUUUUUACUUAGAUUUGGGUGGCGGACGGGUGAGUAACGCGUAAAGAACUUGCCUCACAGCUAGGGACAACAUUUGGAAACGAAUGCUAAUACCUGAUAUUAUGAUUAUAAGGCAUCUUAGAAUUAUGAAAGAUAUAUGCGCUGUGAGAGAGCUUUGCGUCCCAUUAGCUAGUUGGAGAGGUAACGGCUCACCAAGGCGAUGAUGGGUAGCCGGCCUGAGAGGGUGAACGGCCACAAGGGGACUGAGACACGGCCAUUACUCCUACGGGAGGCAGCAGUGGGGAAUAUUCGACAAUGGACCAAGAGUCUGAUGCAGCAAUUCUGUGUGCACGAUGACGUUUUUCGGAAUGUAAAGUGCUUUCAGUUGCGAAGAAAAAAAUGACGGUACCAACAGAAGAAGUGACGGCUAAAUACGUG